CGACGCCUCCUUUCUCUCUUCUCUCCGAAGAACCAAAGCACGCAUCUAUAGUUUUUCUUUAAUCAUUCUUCUUUGAUUUUCCUUGUAGGUAUCUGCAACUUUUGGGUCUUCUUCUUCGUGAGUUGACAAACAUUUCUAAGAAUAAAAUGAACUGAAGUAUUUUUCACCCCCAAAAGUCAUUAAAGUCGAGCAUUAAGUGGACAAACUACAAGUUAGUCAUCAAGCUCAGCUCACUGCUUAAAAAGAGGUUAUGGAUUUGUGAUGGUGGAAGGUAGCAGGUACGCGUUGCAUGCAAGCUAUCUCAUUUCAUAUUGUGGGGCAAAAUUAAUUAGGUAUAUAAGUUAGUGCUGCCAAAGGCAAAAAAGGAUCUGUAACUAAAUACUUUUACCAAUGGUCCAAUGCUAAGGAUCUAUGGCUGGAUUUAGAGAUUGCAGUAAUGUACCCAACUGUUAACAGAAUUUUUGUUGUGCAAGGCCAGGCCUGAUAUCUUAUUGUUUUUCAUGGAUAGGUUGAUUUAGAUUUUGCGGUCUGGCUGUCACAUGAAAAUAGGAUCUGAUUUAGAUAAAUAGUUUGAUGAUCAACUAUAAAUUAAACACAAAUGGUCUCGGAUGACUCUUUCUGUUUGUGUCAUACAAUUAAUUGUGAAACCUAACCAUUUAAAUUUUGUCUAUAGAAUCCUGCUACCCAUCUGCAGCUUCAGACAGUGCAGAUUCCUCGUCUUUCUUUAUCACCAGUUGUUUUGCCUGUUUGCGAGCUUCAACCAGAUUGAGAAGGCGUUUCUCUGCGUCUUCUUUCAGGGAGCUGGGGAUCUUCUCUGCAGCAUAAGCAGGGGGACAUUAUUGACGGAUCCUAUCCCAUAUGAAUAUGAAACUAGCGAUGCUGGUCCAAACACCACCCUACUUUUGCAGCAAUCUCAUUGCUCUGAUCAUUGUUAAAGAUGUUUAGAAAUUCCCUUAGAUUUGUUCACUUUAUAUAAGAGGCUGAGAGAAACAGAAAAUUAAAACUUAAAUUUCAAUCAUUUAUGUGUAUAUACUUACUAAGCUAUUCAAAAUUAUUCACCACACAAAUUUCUCCAAACCAUUUCAAAAAACUUAAGCUGCAACUGAGCUAAGAAAAAUACUUCAAACAAACCUCAUCUUCAGCAUUGCAGUGAAGUUAACAAAUCAACAAAGUCGGAUUGUGACAAAAAUUUGGACAGCCAUAAAAAAGUAACAUCAACAUAUAACCAAAACCAACAAUAACGUUACACGUGGCAAGAAUAAUCCAAGAAAUUUCAAAGGCAGGAGUAACAGAUAAGUAGAAACCACAAUAUGAGCAACCAUUACUCAAGAAAUUCGGAAGGCAUAGGAAACGGAUAUGAGAAGAAAUAAUAAGUGCAGUGCAAAAAAUUUCUUAAGCUAACAUAAGAUAUUCAGCUACAACUUACAAUAGUUGUUAAAGUUUUAAAGGAUGCAGGAGAAUAUAAUAGAGUGAAUAUGUUCUAUAAGGAAUGAUGUAUUGAAAAGAUAACUUAAUUUUUCACUUUAAGGUAGUUUUUGCUGAUUGAGCUUAUCAU